CUCAGGGUCACCAAGGCUACUAAAGCUAAGAAAGCAGACAGCUCCUAUUGGGGUCUUGAUUUGCAAAUCACACAAUACAUUAAGUCAAGAGGCUUCCAAAAUAGGAGGAUAAAGGCUUCAAACAUCAAAUCAGAAAGUGAAAAUACAAAGACAGUGGUCACCACGUGGUUCCUGAGAAACAGCGGGCAAAGCCCAAAGUGAGGGCAGCCCUCUCCCGGCAUCCUUUGCCCACUCUUUCUGCCUUUCCUACAAAGAACCUUCCAUGCCCCAUAAAGCUGCUCAAAAAAAUGCAGCUGAAUCAUAUCAACUACUGGAAAUUACAAACAGAAUUUCAUGAAUAUUACACUCCUUUCAUGCAAAGAACCUGGAGAAGUUUUUACAAAUAAUUUAAUUCAAUUAAUCCUUGAGUAUUGAAUUUCAGAUGCUUGAAUCUAUAAUUGAAUCUUUUUAAGGAGGAGAAAUCUAUUACAUGCACAAAUACACUGACUCAAACCUUUAUGGUCAUAAAGAACCUUCUGGAAAAGGGGUGCUUGGCUGGAAGCUAGGUCACUCUUGACUUCACCUUCUCCUCAUCAGUAUCCUGCCGCAGCCCCUGCCCUUCACUCAUCUCAGCAACCCUCCACGCUGCCCACAACUGGUGCCCCCACAGUCCCUGCAAAGCGGCUUCCCCAGUCCCUGCGUUUAAGACACGGCCGCCUUCCAACUCCUGGACCUGACCCUCAUUGGCUCAGACCCAGUGAUGUACUCAUCUCUGAGCCAAUCAUGGUGGGCAAGGGGAGGGGCUAGCUGAGGGGCUUAGACCAUUCCGGAUCCACGCCUGGAGUGCGCAUGGGCUUUCCCAGAAGUCGGUGCAGUCACAGACGGACAGGGAGCUAGAGACCUGCCGUGCCAACCCGCCAACGUUCCUCUGCCGCAGUCGAUUCUGGAUCAUCCUGAUGUCCCUGGAAACUGAGGCUCUUGAAUCUAUGACACUUUACAACUAGACUCUGAGGCCCUGACCUGGGACGUCCCCAGCAAGGGAGAGUCCCGCAGGUUCGUGAGCUGGGCCCCCGCUUUGGGCCACGGGUCUGCUUGUGGCCUUGGGCCUGGCACUGGGCUCUGCUAACACGGAAGUUUCCAGGCCCACCUCCUGCUAAACGGAGCGCUGAGUGCUAGGAGUUGAUUGCGCUGGGCUGAAAGCAUUCCACCUGUGAGUUCGUCUGCUCCGGGUUUGUCUGGAUCAGGGGCGAGCCGCUCCCGUCUAAUUAUCUUUGUUCUACUCCCAGCCCGCUGGGAGCUCAAGAGUGCUUCCAUAAGGGGACACUGUCAACCCAGAGGAACUGGUUGACAGGCCAGGCCAGGGGGGAGAGCGGCGGCCUGGCCCAGGGUGAGUGCCCUGGGCGCAGGGUUCAGUCUGCUUCUGGAUGUUUCCUCCCCCCACCCCGCCCAUCCAGAGCCCUUUGUUGUUUGGAUUGAACUGAGGUCAUUAGCUUUUUGGCAUCGGAACAGUAUUUCAGAGGGGGUCCGUGUGGGUCUAUGAACCAGGUGGUUCUCUGUGGGGGGUGUCCUGUGCCCUGCAGAGGUUCAGCAGCACCCCAGCAUCCACCCUGCCUGUGCCCGCACACCCACCCCCUGGUUGUAACAACCAGAAGUGUCUGUAGACAUUGCCUGGUGUCCCUGGAGGCAUAGCCGCUCCCGUUGGAACCACUGACCUGUGAACAGGCUGGUAAAAACAGCCCUGGACAGGCACCUGCGUGGCUCAGUCAGUUAAGCCUCUCUGACUUCAGCUCAGGUCAUGAUUUCAGUUUGUGAGUUCGAGGCCCAAGUCAGGCUCUGUGCUGACAGCUCAGAGCUUGGAGCCUGCUUUGGAUUCUGUGUCUCCCUCACUCUUUGACCCUCCCCUGCUCGCUCGCUCUCUCUCUCUCUCUCUCUCUCUCUCAAAAAUAAACAUUUAAAAGCAAAAAAAUUUUUUUUUAAUUUAAAAAUUAAAGAACAAAAACAAAAAAAAAAACCCUGGAGCUCUCAGUAGAUACCAACUGAAAACUUCGCCAAACUGGGUUUUUCCCCCAGAGACUGGUGAGUGUGGACCGUUGGAGGUGGCUCAUUAAUGUAACGUGAAUAACCCUAACAACAAAAUCAUUCUCCUUUCUUUCCCCUCAGGUCACCGGUUAGUUAACACGGACACUGCAGUGUCUGGAAAGGGAACAGUGGCCCCAACGAUAUGGUUCUGAGAACCUAGGACCUGCUCACCGCCCUGUGCCCAGUGGGGGCCUCCUUCGUGGGUUCAGAUUCAUGUGUGGAUUUUUAUGUCUCCAACCGCAUGACAUAGCAGCCUUGGGAAAUUUCCUCUUGGUUAAAGCAGAGACCCUGGUAACACCACCCCACCAGGAGAAGGAAGAAGGCACAGGGUUGUGGGCUGGGUAGCAGUCUCGGCCACCGCCCACCCUGCAGCCACCCACAUAUCGGCGCUCGCCCUUCUGCUGCACCCACGGCCCACCCCCACCGCACCCCCGGACACAGCGGCAAAGCCCCAGCCAGUCCCCGCAUCUGCCUCAAAACGCAGGGUCCCAAGGAUAAGGCGGAAAACCUCCCCACCAGAAACGGUUCGAAGCUACGAACCAGGCAGUCCCCGGCUCCCAGUCCACCCAGCAUAAGGCGGGUGAGUGGGAAGGAGACGCCGGCACGAAAAACGCCCCUCUGGAGCGAAGACUGAGAAGCACAACCUCCCCCUGGUCCAUCCACGUGCGCCAAUCCGAGCAGGAGGAACAGCCAGGACGCCACGGCCCCCCGCCAGGGUCCUCGCGAGAGUGUUUGUUCCAAAACGUGUGGACCUUGGAUCCAUCAGUUGCCCAUCAGCUUUAGCCGUCAAGGCAGUUUCUAACCCUGAAGUGUCGGCCGUUUUCACUCACUGGCCUGCAUGUGGCCCCCCCUGUCUCCUGGUGCGAUGUCCUGGCCACCCCGAGCCUCCGGGGGCCACGGGCUUUGCUGCGAACUUCACACGUCAGUGGGACAGGGCUCGGUUUUCUUUUCUGCUAAGUGUGCUGCUUUGUGGAAAACCAUCCCAGUUCCGGAUGCCAUGGGAGAGCCUAGCAGUUGCUUUUUCAACCCUGCAAGGCUCCAAAUUACCAAGCUCUCGGUCACUUUCGGUGGCAGGCUGCAGGCAGGGAGCAUCUCCAUCAUCACAGGGCAUCCCCUCUUCCCACGCCUACACCGGCCGCUCUCUUGUAAAGCUUUGCUAAAGGCAGCAAGCAGCGGCUACCAUGCUUCUGCGUCAUGGCUCUCUCCUGUCAUCCCUCCCUCGAUCCGAGCUCAGAACACGGGCCGCUUUUCAAAAAACAGCAGGGGACAGCUGUUAGCAACUGCUUCAUUUCUCCACGCUGUCGCCAGGCCUCUGGCCCACAGUGUUUGAGUCCCUGACACCUGCCAACAUCCACGGAGUCGGUGCCACAUGUCUCUGUUCUGCUACUCACAGCUCACCUCUCUUGGUCCUUUUUUUUUUUUCUAUCAGUUAAGAUUAGAUUUGCCCGGAAAACCCAAAGGAGCAGUGGCUUCAAUGGGACUUUUAAAUCUCCCGCAUUCUGAGUCCACGGUAAGGUGGUCCAUGGACGGUCCAGUGGGACUCCAUGGCGGCAGGAACUGACCCAUCUUCUAUCUUGCUGGCAUGCCAUAUAUCAGCACUAAUGGUGAUGCCCAGGAUGGCUGCCUCAGCGCCAGCCAUCAAAUCCUCAUUCCAACCCAGUAGAAGAAGAAGAGUGGGAACAGACAGACACAUCUGCCCUCAUCAGGGACACUUCCAGGAAGUUGCCUUCCGUUGGCCAGAACUUAGUCGCAUGGUCAUACCUGGCUCAAGGGAGGAUGGAAGGGUCACUUCCAUUCUGGAUGGCAGAAAAGUCAAGUUUCUGUUGAGGAAUGAGAGGUGAUGGAUUUGGGGGCAAUUAGGCUCUGCUAAUGUGGAAAAGUUCAGUAUCAGUGUCUCUCCUAUUCUAGCUCUAGAAUUCUCUAGCCUCCUCCUUCUUCAGGACAGAUUUAUGCCUCUGACAUGCACCUUGCAGAAGAGACAAUGACCAGACAAGGUGUGCAGUCUUCUGCCCACGCAUCAUUCUUGAGGAUGCUUUUGCUACACCUACUUCACGGGGACAUAAAGUGAGGGUCUCCGGGCUACUGUUUCUGUUGGGGAGGUUUUAACAGCUAGGAGGGCUUCUGUGCUCAGUGAAUCACAGAAGUGACCAAAACAAACACCUCCGAUGAGAAGCACCCAUAAAACCAACGAGACUAUUAAUGCAAAUGGAAAACCAAAAUUGAUGAAAUGCAAAAUAUUUAACUUCCCAGACUGCAGCUAGCCUUGGACUACUAAGUCAUUUAGAGGCUAAUGUUCUUAAUAAAAUCACAUUUUCCCUGAAAAUA